UCGGGAAUUUUGGGCAAUGGGCGAAAGCCUGACCCAGCAACGCCGCGUGAGUGAUGAAGGCCUUCGGGUUGUAAAGCUCUGUGGGGAGAGAAGAAUAAGUGCGGGCUAAUACCCCGCAUGAUGACGGUAUCUCCUUAGCAAGCACCGGCUAACUCUGUGCCAGCAGCCGCGGUAAGACAGAGGGUGCAAACGUUGUUCGGAAUUACUGGGCGUAAAGCGAGUGUAGGCGGUUUGGUAAGUCGGAUGUGAAAGCCCCGGGCUCAACCCGGGAAGUGCAUUCGAUACUGCCAAGCUAGAGUAUCGGAGAGGUUGGUGGAAUUCUCGGUGUAGAGGUGAAAUUCGUAGAUAUCGAGAGGAACACCGGUGGCGAAGGCGGCCAACUGGACGAAUACUGACGCUGAGACUCGAAAGCGUGGGGAGCAAACAGGAUUAGAUACCCCCGUAGUCCCUGAGCGGGCUGGCAAGGCGCAU
rnacentral:rRNA from 1 species